GAUGAACGCUGGCGGCGUGCCUAAUACAUGCAAGUCGAGCGGACGGACGAGAAGCUUGCUCCUCUGCUGUUAGCGGCGGACGGGCGAGUAACACGUGGAUAACCUACCUAUAUGACUGGGAUAACUACGGGAAACAGGAGAUACUACUGGAUCAUAUUUUGAACCGCAUGGUUCAAAAGUGAUAGACGGUCUUGCUGUCACUAAUAGCUGGAUCCGCGCUGCAUUAGCUAGUUGGUAAGGUAACGGCUAACCAAGGCAACGAUGCAUAGCCGACCUGAGAGGGUGAUCGGCCACACUGGAACUGAGACACGGUCCAGACUCCUACGGGAGGCAGCAGUAGGGAAUCUUCCGCAAUGGGCGAAAGCCUGACCGAGCAACGCCGCGUGAGUGAUGAAGGUCUUCGGAUCGUAAAGCUCUGUUAUUAGGAAAGAACAUAUGUGUAAGUAACUGUGCACAUCUUGACGGUACCUAAUCAGAAAGCCCCGGCUAACUUCGUG
rnacentral:rRNA from 1 species